GUGGUGUGACUGCGUACCUUUUGUAUAAUGGGUCAGCGACUUAUAUUCUGUAGCAAGGUUAACCGUAUAGGGGAGCCGAAGGGAAACCGAGUCUUAACUGGGCGUUAAGUUGCAGGGUAUAGACCCGAAACCCGGUGAUCUAGCCAUGGGCAGGUUGAAGGUUGGGUAACACUAACUGGAGGACCGAACCGACUAAUGUUGAAAAAUUAGCGGAUGACUUGUGGCUGGGGGUGAAAGGCCAAUCAAACCGGGAGAUAGCUGGUUCUCCCCGAAAGCUAUUUAGGUAGCGCCUCGUGAACUCAUCUUCGGGGGUAGAGCACUGUUUCGGCUAGGGGGCCAUCCCGGCUUACCAACCCGAUGCAAACUACGAAUACCGAAGAAUGUUAUCACGGGAGACACACGGCGGGUGCUAACGUCCGUCGUGAAGAGGGAAACAACCCAGACCGCCAGCUAAGGUCCCAAAGUCAUGGUUAAGUGGGAAACGAUGUGGGAAGGCACAGACAGCCAGGAUGUUGGCUUAGAAGCAGCCAUCAUUUAAAGAAAGCGUAAUAGCUCACUGGUCGAGUCGGCCUGCGCGGAAGAUGUAACGGGGCUAAACCAUGCACCGAAGCUGCGGCAGCGACACUAUGUGUUGUUGGGUAGGGGAGCGUUCUGUAAGCCGUUGAAGGUGUGCUGUGAGGCAUGCUGGAGGUAUCAGAAGUGCGAAUGCUGACAUAAGUAACGAUAAAGCGGGUGAAAAGCCCGCUCGCCGGAAGACCAAGGGUUCCUGUCCAACGUUAAUCGGGGCAGGGUGAGUCGACCCCUAAGGCGAGGCCGAAAGGCGUAGUCGAUGGGAAACAGGUUAAUAUUCCUGUACUUGGUGUUACUGCGAAGGGGGGACGGAGAAGGCUAUGUUAGCCGGGCGACGGUUGUCCCGGUUUAAGCAUGUAGGCGGAGGUUCCAGGUAAAUCCGGUACCUUUUAACGCUGAGGUGUGAUGACGAGGCACUACGGUGCUGAAGUAACAAAUGCCCUGCUUCCAGGAAAAGCCUCUAAGCAUCAGGUAACAUCAAAUCGUACCCCAAACCGACACAGGUGGUCAGGUAGAGAAUACCAAGGCGCUUGAGAGAACUCGGGUGAAGGAACUAGGCAAAAUGGUGCCGUAACUUCGGGAGAAGGCACGCUGAUAUGUAGGUGAAGCCCCUGCGGGUGGAGCUGAAAUCAGUCGAAGAUACCAGCUGGCUGCAACUGUUUAUUAAAAACACAGCACUGUGCAAACACGAAAGUGGACGUAUACGGUGUGACGCCUGCCCGGUGCCGGAAGGUUAAUUGAUGGGGUUAGCGGCAACGCGAAGCUCUUGAUCGAAGCCCCGGUAAACGGCGGCCGUAACUAUAACGGUCCUAAGGUAGCGAAAUUCCUUGUCGGGUAAGUUCCGACCUGCACGAAUGGCGUAAUGAUGGCCAGGCUGUCUCCACCCGAGACUCAGUGAAAUUGAACUCGCUGUGAAGAUGCAGUGUACCCGCGGCAAGACGGAAAGACCCCGUGAACCUUUACUAUAGCUUGACACUGAACACUGGUCCUUGAUGUGUAGGAUAGGUGGGAGGCUUUGAAGCGUGGACGCCAGUCUGCGUGGAGCCGUCCUUGAAAUACCACCCUUUAAUGGCUGGUGUUCUAACGUAGACCCGUGAUCCGGGUUGCGGACAGUGUCUGGUGGGUAGUUUGACUGGGGCGGUCUCCUCCCAAAGAGUAACGGAGGAGCACGAAGGUUAGCUAAUCCUGGUCGGACAUCAGGAGGUUAGUGCAAUGGCAUAAGCUAGCUUGACUGCGAGAGUGACGGCUCGAGCAGGUGCGAAAGCAGGUCAUAGUGAUCCGGUGGUUCUGAAUGGAAGGGCCAUCGCUCAACGGAUAAAAGGUACUCCGGGGAUAACAGGCUGAUACCGCCCAAGAGUUCAUAUCGACGGCGGUGUUUGGCACCUCGAUGUCGGCUCAUCACAUCCUGGGGCUGAAGUAGGUCCCAAGGGUAUGGCUGUUCGCCAUUUAAAGUGGUACGCGAGCUGGGUUUAGAACGUCGUGAGACAGUUCGGUCCCUAUCUGCCGUGGGCGCUGGAGAAUUGAGGGGGGCUGCUCCUAGUACGAGAGGACCGGAGUGGACGCAUCACUGGUGUUCGGGUUGUCAUGCCAAUGGCACUGCCCGGUAGCUAAAUGCGGAAAAGAUAAGUGCUGAAAGCAUCUAAGCACGAAACUUGCCCCGAGAUGAGUUCUCCCUGA
rnacentral:rRNA from 1 species